rnacentral:rRNA from 1 species
UCCGGUUGAUCCUGCCGGACUUGACCGCUAUCGGGUUGAGACUAAGCCAUGCAAGUCGGACGCCCCAAGCCACGGUGGGGCGUGGCGAACGGCUCAGUAACACGUUGUCAAUCUACCCUCAGGACGGGGAUAACCUCGGGAAACUGAGGCUAAUCCCCGAUAGAGGACACCGCCUGGAAUGGUGUGUCCUCCAAAAGACACCAAUGCCACGCUCAUUGGUGUCGCCUGAGGAUGAGACUGCGUCUGAUUAGGUAGUUGGUGGGGUAGAGAUGCACCCACACACAAAACACAAACAAAAAAGAAAAACAGGUGCACUACAAGCCCACCAAGCCGAUUAUCAGUACGGGCCACGAGAGUGGGAGCCCGGAGAUGGGGACUGAGACAAGGCCCCAGGCCCUACGGGGCGCAGCAGGCGCGAAAACUCCGCAAUGCACGAAAGUGUGACGGGGUCAACCCGAGUGCCAACUCAAAAAGUUGGCUUUUCACCGGUGUAAGCAGCCGGUGGAAUAAGGGGAGGGCAAGGCUGGUGCCAGCCGCCGCGGUAAAACCAGCUCCUCGAGUAGUCAAGACGUUUAUUGGGCCUAAAGCGUCCGUAGCCGGUCCAGUAAGUCUCUGGUCAAAUCUAACGGCUCAACCGUUAGACCGCUAGAGAUACUGCUGGACUCGGAGGCGGGAGAGGCCGAGGGUACUCUCAGGGUAGGGGUGAAAUCCGAUAAUCCUGAGGGGACCACUAGUGGCGAAGGCGCUCGGCUGGAACGCGCUCGACGGUGAGGGACGAAAGCCAGGGGAGCGAACCGGAUUAGAUACCCGGGUAGUCCUGGCCGUAAACGAUGUGGACUAAGUGUUAGGGUGGCUACGAGCCACCCUAGUGCUGAAGGGAAGCCGUUAAGUCCACCGCCUGGGGAGUACGGCCGCAAGGCUGAAACUUAAAGGAAUUGGCGGGGGAGCACCACAAGGGGUGAAGCCUGCGGUUUAAUUGGACUCAACGCCGGGAAUCUUAUCGGGAGCGACAGCAGAAUGAAGGCCAGGCUGACGACCUUGCCAGACGAGCUGAGAGGAGGUGCAUGGCCGUCGCCAGUUCGUGCCGUGAGGUGUCCUGUUAAGUCAGGCAACGAACGAGACCCUCGCCCUUAGUUGCCAGCGGAACCCCAAAAGGUUGCCGGGCACACUAAGGGGACCGCCACCGACAAGGUGGAGGAAGGUGAGGGCCACGGCAGGUCAGUAUGCCCCGAAUCUCCCGAGCCACACGCGGGCUGCAAUGGCUAGGACAAAGGGUUCCGACACCGAAAGGUGAAGGUAAUCCCCCAAACCUAGUCUCAGUUGGGAUCGAGGGCUGCAACUCGCCCUCGUGAACAUGGAAUCCCUAGUAACCGCGUGUCAUCAUCGCGCGGUGAAUACGUCCCUGCUCCUUGCACACACCGCCCGUCGCUGCACCCGAGUCGGGUCUGGAUGAGGCGUGGUCCUCUGGGUCGCGUCGAAUCCGGGUUCGGCGAGGGGGCAGAAGUCGUAACAAGGUAGCC